GCCGCGGUGGCGAAAUUGGCAGACGCAUACGGUUCAGAACCGUAUAUCCGAAAGGAUGUGUGGGUUCAAAUCCCGCCCGCGGCA
rnacentral:tRNA from 1 species